rnacentral:rRNA from 1 species
UACGUAGGGUGCGAGCGUUGUCCGGAUUUAUUGGGCGUAAAGAGCUCGUAGGCGGCUUGUCGCGUCGACUGUGAAAGCCCCGCGGCUCAACCGCGGGUCUGCAGUCGAUACGGGCAGGCUAGAGUUCGGUAGGGGAGACUGGAAUUCCUGGUGUAGCGGUGAAAUGCGUAGAUAUCGGAAGGAACAUCAGUGGCGAAAGCGACUUCCUGGACCAAUACUGACGCUCAUGUGCGAAAGCGUGGGGA